UACGAAGGGGGCUAGCGUUGUUCGGAAUUACUGGGCGUAAAGGGCGCGUAGGCGGCCUUCUAAGCCGAACGUGAAAUCCCCGGGCUCAACCCGGGAACUGCGUCCGAUACUGGAAGGCUUGAAUCCGGGAGAGGGAUGUGGAAUUCCAGGUGUAGCGGUGAAAUGCGCAGAUAUCGGGAGGAACACCAGUAGCGAAGGCGGCUCGCUGGGCCACUCCUGACGCUGAGACGCGAAAGCUAGGGGAGCGAACAGG
rnacentral:rRNA from 1 species